rnacentral:miRNA from 1 species
GUGGGAGGGAGGAUUUGGAAAUGAAGAUCAGAGUUCGAAUCCCAGCGGUGCCUCUUCUCGACU